rnacentral:rRNA from 1 species
UACAUCGGUGACAGGUGGUGCAUGGUUGUCGUCAGCUCGUGUCGUGAGAUGUUGGGUUAAGUCCCGCAACGAGCGCAACCCCUAUUGUUAGUUGCCAUCAUUCAGUUGGGCACUCUAGCGAGACUGCCGGUAAUAAACCGGAGGAAGGUGGGAUGACGUCAAAUCAUCAUGCCCCUUAUGACCUGGGCUACACACGUGCUACAAUGGUUGGUACAACGAGUUGCGAGUCGGUGACGGCGAGCUAAUCUCUUAAAGCCAAUCUCAGUUCGGAUUGUAGGCUGCAACUCGCCUACAUGAAGUCGGAAUCGCUAGUAAUCGCGGAUCAGCACGCCGCGGUGAAUACGUUCCCGGGUCUU